rnacentral:rRNA from 2 species
CAUGCAAGUCGAGCGAACUGAUUAGAAGCUUGCUUCUAUGACGUUAGCGGCGGACGGGUGAGUAACACGUGGGCAACCUGCCUGUAAGACUGGGAUAACUUCGGGAAACCGAAGCUAAUACCGGAUAGGAUCUUCUCCUUCAUGGGAGAUGAUUGAAAGAUGGUUUCGGCUAUCACUUACAGAUGGGCCCGCGGUGCAUUAGCUAGUUGGUGAGGUAACGGCUCACCAAGGCAACGAUGCAUAGCCGACCUGAGAGGGUGAUCGGCCACACUGGGACUGAGACACGGCCCAGACUCCUACGGGAGGCAGCAGUAGGGAAUCUUCCGCAAUGGACGAAAGUCUGACGGAGCAACGCCGCGUGAGUGAUGAAGGCUUUCGGGUCGUAAAACUCUGUUGUUAGGGAAGAACAAGUACGAGAGUAACUGCUUGUACCUUGACGGUACCUAACCAGAAAGCCACGGCUAACUACGUGCCAGCAGCCGCGGUAAUACGUAGGUGGCAAGCGUUAUCCGGAAUUAUUGGGCGUAAAGCGCGCGCAGGCGGUUUCUUAAGUCUGAUGUGAAAGCCCACGGCUCAACCGUGGAGGGUCAUUGGAAACUGGGGAACUUGAGUGCAGAAGAGAAAAGCGGAAUUCCACGUGUAGCGGUGAAAUGCGUAGAGAUGUGGAGGAACACCAGUGGCGAAGGCGGCUUUUUGGUCUGUAACUGACGCUGAGGCGCGAAAGCGUGGGGAGCAAACAGG